UGAGCUGCCCAGCAGUGAAUUCACGCCAGCAUUCUAGGGUUUCUGUGUCACUGGCAUUGUCUUAUUAUAAUAAUAUGAUGAUAACACUAUCCAUUGAGUGAGAGCCUGUCCUGUGCAGGUGCCUGUGUUAAAAGCUUCCGUACAUUGUCUCUUUCAAUCCUUUUUUUGGGGGGGUGGGGCCCACAUCUGCGGCAUAUGGAGGUUCAACUUGGUGCUGGAUCUCUGGCUCCUUCUGGAAGGCUGCUGCCAGUUCAUGGGCAAGCUCUCACCCAACUUUUUGGGGCCUUUGCAGGAGCCCUGCUAUGAUGGCUACUGAGGCCCGCAGGACUCCUGACCUCUACUUCUCUGGGGCGUCCUCUCGCUGGGAAGGGGCAGCUAAGCUCCAGUCUCCCUCUGCUACUCACCGACCGCCUCAGCAUCACCUUCAUCACAUCACUUAACUCCUCUGGGCUUCAAUUUUCUCAUUUGUAAAAUGUGGUAGCACCUUAGAUAAUCACCAAGAUUCCUUCCAGCUCUGAUCACCACGAAUGUCACUAAUGAACUAGCUUAACCUCUUAGUUAAAGGCAGAAUUCUUCUUUUUUUUUUUUUUUUUAAUGGCUCCCCCAACCCCGGCCCUGGCACAUGGAAGUUCCCAGGUCAGGGACUAAAUCCAGGCCACAGCUAUAACACUACACUGCAGCUGGGACAACACUGGAUCCUUUAACCCUCUGCGCUGGGCUGGGGAUCAAACCCGAGCCUCUGCAGUGAUCCAAGCCACUGCAAUAAGAUUCUUAACCCACUGCAUCACGGCAAGAACUCCCAGAGUGACAUCUUUAAAUUUUGGAUUAUUCAAUAUCCAAAUCUGCCAGAAAUCACUCAAGGAGAAAAUGAACACAGAAACCAAGGAGAUCCAGGUACUUUCCAAAGGUUUUUGACAAAAUCCUACUUCAAAGGCAGAGGACGUUUCAUAGGCUCUGAAACAUCUAUUGGGCGGCAACCCUCUGGUUGCAUGAAGGAAUGGUAAAAAGCAGGAUUUGAGGGCAGAUACCCAGCAGUACAGCUGGUCAGAAACUGUUUAGGGCCAAUACCAUGGUUUUGUAUGAUUCGUUGUUUUACAAAGGACAGGUUUUCAAUAGAUGAUCGUGGAGAAGGCACUCAAGAGCAGGCUGUGGGGGCAGACAGAAAAUAGCAGGUGUGCUUCAGUAUGGGCAAGGGUGGAAGCAGUCACAGAGAAGAAUAAUUCACAUUAGGCUUCUGAGACACUGAUUCAGAUGUCAUGUACAACCUGGAAACAUGACCAGAGUCACUACUGACACAGUUCCCUGAGGACAGUAGUUCAAACAGUCUGAAGCAGCUAAAAUCACAAACAAAAAGGGGUUGCUAUUUGGAGCACAGCAGGGAAUUAGAAGGGGCUUUAGAAGUAAUGCAGCCCGGUUUCUGCUGUGGCACAACGGGAUCGGUGGUGUCUUGGGAGCACUGGGAUGCAGGUUCGAUCCCCAGCCUGGCACAGUGGGUUAAGGAUCUGGCUUUGCUGCAGCUGCAACUUAGGUUGCAAUUGUGAUCCAGAUCUGAUCACUGGCCUGGGAACUCCAUAUGCCAUGGGGCAGCCAAAAAAAAAAAGUACAUGUGGAGUUCCCCGGUGGCUCAGUGGGUUAAGGAUCCAGCAUUUUCACUGCUGUGGUGUAGAG
ensembl:lncRNA